rnacentral:rRNA from 1 species
UACGUAGGGUGCAAGCGUUGUCCGGAAUUAUUGGGCGUAAGAGCUCGUAGGCGGUCUGUUGCGUCGGCUGUGAAAACCCGAGGCUCAACCUCGGGCCUGCAGCCGAUACGGGCAGACUAGAGUUCGGCAGGGGAGACUGGAAUUCCUUGGUGUAGCGGUGAAAUGCGCAGAUAUCAGGAGGAACACCGGUGGCGAAGGCGGGUCUCUGGGCAACAACUG